CUUUUGAGGUGCAUCAAGCCAA
rnacentral:piRNA from 1 species